rnacentral:rRNA from 1 species
UGGGGAAUAUUGGACAAUGGGCGCAAGCCUGAUCCAGCAAUGCCGCGUGAGUGAUGAAGGCCUUAGGGUUGUAAAGCUCUUUCGCACGCGACGAUGAUGACGGUAGCGUGAGAAGAAGCCCCGGCUAACUUCGUGCCAGCAGCCGCGGUAAUACGAAGGGGGCUAGCGUUGUUCGGAAUUACUGGGCGUAAAGGGCGCGUAGGCGGCCUGUUUAGUCAGAAGUGAAAGCCCCGGGCUCAACCUGGGAAUAGCUUUUGAUACUGGCAGGCUUGAGUUCCGGAGAGGAUGGUGGAAUUCCCAGUGUAGAGGUGAAAUUCGUAGAUAUUGGGAAGAACACCGGUGGCGAAGGCGGCCAUCUGGACGGACACUGACGCUGAGGCGCGAAAGCGUGGGGAGCAAACAGGAUUAGAUACCCUGGUAGUCCACGCCGUAAAACGAUGAAUGCUAGACGUCGGGGUGCAUGCACUUCGGUGUCGCCGCUAACGCAUUAAGCAUUCCGCCUGGGGAGUACGGCCGCAAGGUUAAAAACUCAAAAUGAAUUGACGGGGUC